CCUACGGGAGGCAGCAGUGAGGAAUAUUGGUCAAUGGACGCAAGUCUGAACCAGCCAUGCCGCGUGCAGGAAGACGGCUCUAUGAGUUGUAAACUGCUUUUGUACGAGGGUAAACGCAGAUACGUGUAUCUGUCUGAAAGUAUCGUACGAAUAAGGAUCGGCUAACUCAGUGCCAGCAGCCGCGGUAAUACGGAGGAUUCAAGCGUUAUCCGGAUUUAUUGGGUUUAAAGGGUGCGUAGGCGGUCGGAUAAGUUAGAGGUGAAAUCCCGAGGCUCAACCUCGGAAUUGCCUCUGAUACUGUUCGGCUAGAGGGUAGUAGAGGUAGGCGGAAUGUAUGGUGUAGCAGUGAAAUGCUUAGAGAUCAUGCAGAACACCGAUUGCGAAGGCAGCUUACCAAGCUACUUCUGACGUUGAGGCACGAAAGCGUGGGGAGCAAACAGGAUUAGAUACCCGAGUAGUC
rnacentral:rRNA from 1 species